rnacentral:rRNA from 1 species
AGCGCAGGCGGUUUCUUAAGUCUGAUGUGAAAGCCUUCGGCUCAACCGAAGAAGUGCAUCGGAAACUGGGAAACUUGAGUGCAGAAGAGGACAGUGGAACUCCAUGUGUAGCGGUGAAAUGCGUAGAUAUAUGGAAGAACACCAGUGGCGAAGGCGGCUGUCUGGUCUGUAACUGACGCUGAGGCUCAAAGCAUGGGUAAGGCAAACAA